AAGUCGUAACAAGGUUUCCGUAGGUGAACCUGCGGAAGGAUCAUUAACACAAUUUUACUGUGAUAAAUCCGUUGAAUUCUCGAAUUCAAUGGUAUCCACCCCAUUAUUGACGAACUUUUCUAGAUGUUUUCAAAAACGUAGAGCUUAGUCUUUAGGUUUUUAAAACAUUCUAAACCUUUUUCUAUACCCACACACAGUUAAACCCCUUUUACAACAUGUCUUAGACUGAAAUGAAAAUUUUCUAUCAAAAAAUUGAUAAAAACAACUUUUAACAACGGAUAUCUUGGCUCUC
rnacentral:misc_RNA from 1 species